GAGUAUGGAGACAAAUGCAGGAUUGACUUUCAUGGAUAUUGCCCCCAUGCUAAAGAUCAAUGAGCUAGAAGACAUUUACCUUGGAAAAUAAGUGGAUGACUUGUGGAGCAUUAAGACGCGACUGCUAUGAAGAAGCAGAGGGCAUGCGCAGGUUCCGAGAACAAGUUGACUCUUGUCAAGGUGGUGAGCUCGGUGAAGGCAUUGUAAUACUCAGAGCAUCAAGACAUAUAUGGAUCAACCUUUAAUGGGCUGCCCCCAUGGUUUAAGGUGGAGAGCUACCUGGACUCUUGAGACUAAGAGCGGGAGACUCACGGAGAAGUUAGGCGUGGUUCCUAGGGAGGAACAGAGGGCAGACGCAACUCCGGGAUGAGUAGACUCUUGGAAGAGUAGUGAGCUCGUGAUCACAUUAAAAUACUCAAUGACUGUCGCACU
rnacentral:lncRNA from 1 species